GAUGAAGAACGCAGCGAAAUGCGAUAAGUAAUGUGAAUUGCAGAAUUCAGUGAAUCAUCGAAUCUUUGAACGCACAUUGCGCCCCCUGGUAUUCCGGGGGGCAUGCCUGUUCGAGCGUCAUUUCACCACUCAAGCCUCGCUUGGUAUUGGGCAACGCGGUCCGCCGCGUGCCUCAAAUCGACCGGCUGGGUCUUCUGUCCCCUAAGCGUUGUGUAAACUAUUCGCUAAAGGGUGUUCGGGAGGCUACGCCGUAAAACAACCCCAUUUCUAAGGUUGACCUCGGAUCAGGUAGGGAUACCCGCUGAACUUAAGCAUAUCAAUAAGCGGAGGA
rnacentral:misc_RNA from 1 species